AUCCUGGCUUAGGAUGAACGCUAGCUACAGGCUUAACACAUGCAAGUCGAGGGGCAUCAUGACGAUAGCUUGCUAUUGUUGAUGGCGACCGGCGCACGGGUGAGUAACGCGUAUCCAACCUUCCCUAUAGUAGAGGAUAGCCCGGCGAAAGUCGGAUUAAUACUCUAUGUUGUAUUUUGCGGACAUCUAACGAAUACCAAAGGUUUACCGCUAUAGGAUGGGGAUGCGUCUGAUUAGGUUGUUGGCGGGGUAACGGCCCACCAAGCCAUCGAUCAGUAGGGGUUCUGAGAGGAAGGUCCCCCACAUUGGAACUGAGACACGGUCCAAACUCCUACGGGAGGCAGCAGUGAGGAAUAUUGGUCAAUGGACGGGAGUCUGAACCAGCCAAGUAGCGUGCAGGAUGACGGCCCUAUGGGUUGUAAACUGCUUUUAUACAGGGAUAAAGUCGGGGACGUGUCCCCGCUUGUAGGUACUGUAUGAAUAAGGACCGGCUAAUUCCGUGCCAGCAGCUGC
rnacentral:rRNA from 1 species